GUUCAAUUCAAUCGAUGUCAUUUUGUCAAUGCCACUCCUGUUGAUCAUCUUUGCAGAUAUGUUCACCCCGUGUUUUCAUGUAUGUGGGGGACUUCUUCUUCCAUUAUAUCAUGGAGAUAUAGAAUAAGAGAUGACAGGUCCCAAUUACUUUUGUGGGUAACGAUCAAGUGUACAGCUUUGAAGAGAAGUUAGAUUUUCAAAUCAAAAGGUUCCUUCUCUUUUCAUAAGCUGCACUAGUGCAACAUUGUUCCUGAAAAGCUUAGAUAAGGAUGGCAAUUUUACUUCAGUG
rnacentral:misc_RNA from 1 species